ensembl:lncRNA
GCAAGCAAACUGUGGUGUAAAUAGAUUCUCAGUGAAUUCUGGUAUUCAGACUCUAUUCCACUAGUGAAAUAACCAUUUUCUAAACUUCUUAGACCUGAUUCCCUUUGCCUUUUUUAUUUAUUUAAUUUCCUUGGUUUGGAGGUGGCAGUCCCAAACACUAGAGUCCAUACUUUUUCAUCACACAGCUCAGAUAAGGUGCAUGCCAAGGAGGUUCUCACCUCCCUAAAGAAGGGACUUGAAUUUGAGGGACUUUAAUUCACCCCUUCCUUCAUCACGUUCCCCCAUCCCCUUUUUUGCACAUGCCAAGAUGAUGGCUGCAGUUAUGCAGCUUCUACUCCCUUGAAAAAUCCCUUCUACAGUGCUGUUCACAUGAGAGCCCAUUAGCCUCCUCAUUGGAGGUAGGACUGACUUGAUUCUGUAAAAUGCCGCCUAGUCUACCUAUUUCUCGGAAGCAGUCUGGUAAAACUUCUGUUAGUGCACUCACUAAUCCUCUACAAGGACAAAAAUCACUUGUAUUUACAAAACUCCAAUUUUGUUUUUUUUUUCCCCCUGAAACCCCUGUUUCAUAAAUAUAAAAUAACUAUCUGAAUUAUCACUUUCAUAUGAACAACCUAACUUCUUUGAAUUGUGUAUAUAAAAAUAUUAGCAACCCUUGUUUUUGUACAAAGAAAAUGUUCCAUUGAUGACAAAGGUUUUCAGUCAUUUCUUCAAAAUAAUAGUGCAAUCCAGACGGUCAGCUUAUUUUGAUAUUGAAGUAUAAAGAUCACAUCUCUGCAUUGAUUUUUAAAUUAUGCUAACAAUACAGAGUCAGUUGGUAUGUUUUGUUCUAUAGCUUUUUAAAAACUUGGCUGGGAUCUGAGGGAAAAGAGGCUAAUUUGGAGUUUCCAAAAGUACCCCUUUUUUUAUAUUUGAAACUCAGCAAUGACUGUCUUUAUUUCCAUUGUUGAAAUUUAUUAGCUUGAAGUGAAUACACCUCCAGCUUGAAACCAGGUAGAAGUAAAAUUUUAAACUCUUGACAGUGAUUUUUCUACUUGUAGCCAUAAGAAGGAACCAGGUUCCUAGAUCCAGACAUCCAGGAGCAUAAUAUAUAGUUCAAUUUAUGUGGGCUAAAUAUUCCUCAAACAUAGGAUUUGCUAAUAGGAUUUCUUCUCUUUACCUCUUUCCUUCCCAAUGCUCUCCCUUUCCCCCCACAUGUCAACUGAAAGUCAAAGUGAAAAUUAUCUAAUAGCCAUUAGGAAAGGUCAGGAGACCCACUACAGAAAAAAAAGAAUUUAAGACUUUUAUGCAGGAUGAUGGAUCUGCAUGACAUGAUAUCCAUUGCAGGCAAUGGACACAUUCAAACCAGCAGCGGCAAGAAGCAUGCUAAAGUUAACCUAUUUGGCUUACUUUUAAAUAAAAUAUUUCUUACCUGUUGAAUCAGUUUUCUCAAUAGUGAUUAACAUUCUACCCCUAGGGUGGUAAUGACUAAUUUAUUAUACUGACUUAUCUACAAAACUGUCACAGAUGGGUAAGAGCAGUUUUUUAAAUGUGCAAGCUAAAUAUUAACAGUUUGUACUAAUGGAUCAUCAACAACUUGAAUCCUUGUUCAUUACAGUGCUCAUAUCUGUGUUCUGUGCAGUUGUCCAUUAGGAAGCAUGGUGGAAGUUCAGUAUUUGGGGAUUUGAAGUGAUAAUUACAUCAUGUCUGCUUCCAGCCAGUCAGAAACAUCUAGCCAUACUUUUCUUAUGCAAGCCAUUCAGUUAUCAGGACUGUGAAUUAACACUGUAUGAAUAAAUUUCUGUACACCUUAUUGUUUGGCCAGAUGGCCACCAAGUGUACUUAUGUGUAAUCCUUAAAUUUUAAAGUAGCUGUAAUUUUUAAAUCUUUCUAAACUUUUCUGAAACCACUAAAAUUAAGCUCUUACUACUUAGUCAAGUAUCCUCAGCUGUAUUCGUACUCAAUUGUCAGUAUGGCACAGAUUACUGUAUUAAAAUAUUCUCCUUUCGUCUUCAUAUUUACCUUCUGAGGUAAUUUUUUAACUUAAUGUGUUACUACAAAGAUUUGCAGAUCUUUAAUCAAGCACUAUGUUAAUACUGUAAUAUCAAAAUACUAUGUCGCAUUAUUUAAAAUGUUCAAAUUGAAUAGAUUAAAAGGAAGUUUUUAAAUGCUGUUGCAUCAUAUAAUUUGCUACACAACCACCUAUGGCAUCGCAUAUCAGUCUAAUACAUUUAAUGUUACACAGAAGUAAUGCUUUGGUCUGGGUUUCCUCUAAAGAAUUUAGUUUGUCUAAAUUAAGUAAAAAUGUUCUUGACUUUUGUUUGCCAAGACACAAAGUAUAUCAGCUGGAUUUGCCUUUUGGUUUUUUUGUGAACCCAGAACUGUGGUUCAGAUUUUUAUUUAUGUGUUUUCUCUUUCAGUGGAGUAUUAACUAGCAAAACUGGAUUUGGGACCUAAGAUACUCCUCAUGUUGACUUUUUCAUGAAGUUUUAAAAUAGCUUUAGAUUUCAAGGUAAACUGGAUUUGCGGACCUUAAAAGUUAUGGGUUUAAAUUGCAGAUUGUGACAUCAUUACUGGACAUGUCAGCAGCAUCAUAAACCCUCUCAAAACAGCUGGGUCACUUUAAUAAGGGGAGUUUUUAAGUUCUUAUUUAGCAAUGACAUUUAAUAUGGUCCAAUUGUGUUUUUUUUAACAUGAUAAAAAGAAUAAGGAACAAACACUAUUGCUGCCGAAUGCCAUAAACACUGAGUUGUACAAAUUGUGAUUGAGGAAAUGAAAAAAGGUUUAUACUUUUUAAAAAAAAAAAAAAAAGAAAAAGAAAAAAAACUUCAAAUGGAAUAAAUUAUUCAUGAAGCCUUCAUUGUGGUGUCUCAUUCUAUUGACCAUAUUUCUAUCUCAAGCUUAUGCAGAUAUAUGUAAGGAAGCAGCUAACACGUCGUCAUAUAAAUGGGAGGAACAUUCUAAAAAAGUAAUUCAUAAGUUCUUCAAAACAUAUUUACAACUCAUCUCUGAAGAAAUUUAAAAACAGCUUCUAGAUUUUAAAAUAACAUGUAUAUACAUUUGUGUUUGUAUAUACAUACAUUCAAAAGUGUUCAAGACUUUUUACCUUAAAAUGCUGAUUUAGUUGAAGAAGGUGGGGAAAAAAGAUCUAUAACUUAAAAUCAACACAGUAUAUCCUUCUUCCAGUUUGUAGUUUCAAAGAACUGGCCCAGUGUGUUUUGCAUACAUGAAAUGGGGCAUAAGAAAAUACAUUUGUUUCUUAUUCAUGCUGCAAAUUAGCCAUGUUCUAUCAAUUUUGAUGGAACCAAACUUUGGACUCUUUCU